UGACGCUGGCGGCGUGCUUAACACAUGCAAGUCGAACGAUGAAGAGCAGCUUGCUGCUUGGAUUAGUGGCGCACGGGUGAGUAAUAUAUAGGUAAUGUGCCUCUUAGUCUGGGAUAGCCAUUGGAAACGAUGAUUAAUACUGGAUACUCCUUCUAACUCUAAUGUUAGUCGGGAAAGUUUUUCGCUAAGAGAUCAGCCUAUAUCCCAUCAGUUAGUUGGUAAGGUAACGGCUUACCAAGGCAAUGACGGGUAGCGGGUUUGAGAGGAUGAUCCGCCACACUGGUACUGAGACACGGACCAGACUCCUACGGGAGGCAGCAGUGAGGAAUAUUGCACAAUGGGGGAAACCCUGAUGCAGCAACGCCGCGUGGAGGAUGACGCAUUUCGGUGUGUAAACUCCUUUUAUAUGUCAAGAAAAUGACGGUAGCAUAUGAAUAAGCACCGGCUAACUCCGUGCCAGCAGCCGCGGUAAUACGGAGGGUGCAAGCGUUACUCGGAAUCACUGGGCGUAAAGGACGCGUAGGCGGAUUGGAAAGUCAGAUGUGAAAUCCUACAGCUUAACUGUAGAACUGCAUUUGAAACUUCUAAUCUAGAGUAUGGGAGGGGGAGAUGGAAUUAGUGGUGUAGGGGUAAAAUCCGUAGAUAUCACUAGGAAUACCGAAAGCGAAGGCGAUCUCCUGGAACAUUACUGACGCUAAGGCGUGAAAGCGUGGGGAGCAAACAGGAUUAGAUACCCUGGUAGUCCACGCCCUAAACGAUGAACACUAGUCGUCGGGAUGCUUGUCAUCUCGGUGAUGCACUUAACAGAUUAAGUGUUCCGCCUGGGGAGUACGGUC
rnacentral:rRNA from 1 species